CCUACGGGUGGCAGCAGUGAGGAAUAUUGGUCAAUGGGCGCGAGCCUGAACCAGCCAAGUCGCGUGAGGGAAGACGGUCCUAUGGAUUGUAAACUUCUUUUGUCGGGGAGCAAAAGACGCCACGUGUGGCGUUCCGAGAGUACUUGAAGAAAAAGCAUCGGCUAACUCCGUGCCAGCAGCCGCGGUAAUACGGAGGAUGCGAGCGUUAUCCGGAUUUAUUGGGUUUAAAGGGUGCGUAGGCGGAAGAUCAAGUCAGCGGUAAAAUUGAGGGGCUCAACCUCUUCGAGCCGUUGAAACUGGUUGUCUUGAGUAAGCGAGAGGUAUGCGGAAUGCGUGGUGUAGCGGUGAAAUGCAUAGAUAUCACGCAGAACUCCGAUUGCGAAGGCAGCAUACCGGCGCUCAACUGACGCUGAUGCACGAAAGUGUGGGUAUCGAACAGGAUUAGAUACCCUUGUAGUC
rnacentral:rRNA from 1 species